rnacentral:rRNA from 1 species
GACGAACGCUGGCGGCGUGCUUAACACAUGCAAGUCGAACGGUGAAGCGCCUUCCUUUUUGGUGGGUGUGGAUGAGUGGCGAACGGGUGAGUAACACGUUAGUAACCUGCCCCCUUCUUCUGGAUAACCGCAUGAAAGUGUGGCCAAUACGGGAUAUUCUGGGUCUGUCGCAUGAUGGGUCUGGGAGAGCUAUUGUUUCGGUAGGGGACGGGCUCGCGGUCUCUCAGCUUGUUGGUGGGGUGAUGGCCUACCAAGGCGGUGACGGGUGGCUGGUCUGAGAGGGUGGGCGAUAACGCAGGGGAUACGACGCGGACAAGACUCCUGCAGGAGGCAGCAGUGAGUAAUGUAGCACAGUGGGAGGAAUCCUGCUGCAGCGACGCGUCGGGGGAGAUGGAGGUCGUCGGGUUGAGAACCUCUUUCGCGAGUGAAGCAGAGCUGCCUCAUUUGUGGGUGGGUUGACGGUAGCUGGAGAAGAAGCGCCGGCUAACUACGUG